UAUAUCGAUAACUAAACGCCAAAACUUUUUUUAAUGGGUGCGUGCAUUUGUGUUGUCCGGUGUUUGAAGACGCUUUGAAUUCGCUUUCAAUUUCUUCGUAGGAAAAAUGUCGGGUGAUACCGAUAAAGCGAAAAUCAGUGACAAUCAGGAUGAAGACAAGAAGUCCACAGCUGGCGACGGGCAUACUACAGAAGAUGAGUCGUCCCAAGACUCCAAGGGUGAGUCGGUCCCAGUCCAGGCCGCAGGUAACACCGAUGUAGAUCAACCUAGCGACGCGCCCAAUAAAGAUAUUAUUGAAGGUGACGGCAAAAGCACAACGGCCAAUGGAAAGGAAGAUGACGCGGGCGGUGAUGACUCUAAGGACGAGAAGAGAGACGCGAAAGCAGAGGGCGAUGUAAAAAAGGAAGAAAAUGGUGAAACACACGAUGACGAUGAGAAGGAUGACGUGAAAGAAAACAACAGCACUAAAAAACCGCCGCCCAAGAAGAAGGCUAAGAAAGAGGAUACGGAAGAAGAAGACGAGGAUGAGGAGGAAGAGGAGGAGGAGGAUGAGGAGGGAGAGGAGGGCGACGAGGAGGGAGAUGAGGACGAGAAGAAGCCCAAAGAAAAGGUAAAGAAGCCAGCAAAGAAAGCCAAAGAUGGCGACGACGAGGGCGAUGAGGAGGAGGGCGACGAAGAGGGAGAGGAGGAGGAAGAAGAGGAGGAGGAGGAGGAGGCGCCCAAACCUAAGCCCAAGAAAGAGCCCACGGAACCGCCCGUGCCGCUGCCGGCGGGUAAGGGCAUCCCGCUGGGCCACAUCAACAACGUCGAGAUCUCACUGUCGCGCUUCAAGACCCAGGAUCAGAAGAUUCUGCACCAGUUCCUAUACGGGCAACUAUGCCUCGACCGCAACGUGAAGCGCAACAUCAAAAAGUUCCGCGGGUACGAGUGGGCGAUAGGCUCCGCCGAGUACAAGGCCAAGCUCGAGGAGACCACCAAGAUGGAGCCCAAGCAGGUGCGCACCAUGUGCGAGAUGCUCGACUUGGACAAGAAGGGGUCUCAGGCGGAUCUAGCGGCGCGGCUAGUAGGGUUCCUACAGCAGCCGGUAGCCAACUCGGUGCACGCGCGCGGCGUGGCGCGGCCGCCGCCCGCCGCCGCCGCCACGCCCGGCGGCCGCCCGAGACGCUCCGCCGCCGUCAAGGUGCACAACCGAGGCUAUUCCGAUGAGGAGUACGAGACGGACCCGGAGACGAAGGUCAAGGGUCCCAAACCAGCAAAGGAUGGCUCAGAAGAUUCAGAUGGUUCGUUCAACCCUAGCGGGUCCGAGGAGGCGGACUCUGACUUCGACCCCGAGGGCGGCGAGAGCGCGGGCGGCGCCACGCGCAAGCGCAAGAGCACCGGCCGCCGCCGCUCCAGCGGCAAGCCCGGCAAGCGCGGCAAGCGGCAGCGCGGCAAGCUCACCAAGGGCAAGAAGGGUCGCGCGGCAAAGCGAGCGCGCUCUGAAAGCGAUGAGGAGAGUGAAAAGUCGGAGAGUGAAAACGAGUCCGAGUCUGGCGGCGGCAGCGACGGAGACGAAUCCGAUGAGCCAAAGUCCAAGCGCGGCCGGCCUGUGGCCAAGGGCCGUAAGGCAGUCGUCACUAAGAACGCCAAGGCGACGCCGGUUAAGCGAAAAGCGCCUACGCCACCAGCCAAGAAGAAGCCAGUGGGUAAAGCGGCGGGCCGACCGGCCAAGAAGCCAAACAAGAAGGCCGCGUCUUCUGAAGAGGAGUCUGGAGAAGGCAGUGAGGAGGAGGAGGAGGGGAGUGAGGAGGAGAGCGCGGGAGACAGCGACGCGCCCGUCGACAAGAAGAAGCGCCCGCCCACGGACGACGAGAUCAAGAAGUACGUGAAGCAGAUCCUCGAGGGCGCAAACCUCGAGCAGAUCACCAUGAAGACCGUGUGCAAGCAGGUGUACAGCCACUACCCAGACUUUGACCUGGCGCACAAGAAGGACUUCAUCAAGGCCACAGUCAAGUCGUGUAUUUAAGAUGUUAGGAGUUAAGGCGGAGUGUAGAUGUCUUCAUAGUAUACCUAUAGUUUAUAAAAGGACAUAUUAUAUAUUAUUACAAUAAUAAUAUAUUAUGAGAAAUAAAUAUCUGAGGCAGUGGAACACCCGCUUUAUCAAAGCUCAUCUCUUCGUGAGCAGUGAGUACUCGGCCGCAAACACAUUCAUAAAAGUUAAGGUACACCACUUAAACCUAGACUAAUGCCGCGCCGCGGCCCCGCUCCUACACCGGGGCUAAUCAUCCAUUCAUACAAUUACUAUCGUCAAUUUAUCGCCUAUGGGGUAAAUCACAUCCACCUUUCCUAUGCAUGCUCAAUCAGUCACAUUAGAGCCAAUUUCGCACUUUGAGUUUGCCUAUAAAUGGGUCAUUUACCUGGACGAAAACGGAUUU